GGGGGCCUACGGGGGGCAGCAGUAAGGAAUAUUGGGCAAUGGACGCAAAUCCGAACCAGCCAUGCCGCGUGCAGGAGGAAGGUCCUAUGGAUUGUAAACUGCUUUUGAAAGAGAAGAAAAG
rnacentral:rRNA from 1 species